UACGGAGGGUGCAAGCGUUGUUCGGAAUCAUUGGGCGUAAAGCGCGUGUAGGCGGUUGACUAAGUCUGGUGUGAAAGCCCGGGGCUUAACCCCGGAAGUGCACUGGAUACUGGACAGCUAGAGGUCGAGAGGGGGAAGCGGAAUUCCUGGUGUAGGGGUGAAAUCCGUAGAUAUCAGGAGGAACACCGGUGGCGAAGGCGGCUUCCUGGCUCGAUACUGACGCUGAGACGCGAAAGCGUGGGGAGCAAACAGG
rnacentral:rRNA from 1 species